GGCAGCACGGGAGCAAUCCUGGUGGCGAGUGGCAAACGGGUGAGUAAUAUAUCGGAACGUGCCCAGUCGUGGGGGAUAACGCAGCGAAAGCUGUGCUAAUACCGCAUACGAUCUACGGAUGAAAGCGGGGGAUCGCAAGACCUCGCGCGAUUGGAGCGGCCGAUAUCAGGUUAGGUUGUUGGUGGGGUAAAAGCCCACCAAGCCGACGAUCUGUAGCUGGUCUGAGAGGACGACCAGCCACACUGGAACUGAGACACGGUCCAGACUCCUACGGGAGGCAGCAGUGGGGAAUUUUGGACAAUGGGCGCAAGCCUGAUCCAGCAAUGCCGCGUGCAGGAUGAAGGCCUUCGGGUUGUAAACUGCUUUUGUACGGAACGAAACGGCCUACUCUAAUACAGUGGGCUAAUGACGGUACCGUAAGAAUAAGCACCGGCUAACUACGUGCCAGCAGCCGCGGUAAUACGUAGGGUGCGAGCGUUAAUCGGAAUUACUGGGCGUAAAGCGUGCGCAGGCGGUUAUAUAAGACAGAUGUGAAAUCCCCGGGCUCAACCUGGGACCUGCAUUUGUGACUGUAUAGCUAGAGUGCGGCAGAGGGGGAUGGAAUUCCGCGUGUAGCAGUGAAAUGCGUAGAUAUGCGGAGGAACACCGAUGGCGAAGGCAAUCCCCUGGGCCUGCACUGACGCUCAUGCACGAAAGCGUGGGGAGCAAACAGGAUUAGAUACCCUGGUAGUCCACGCCCU
rnacentral:rRNA from 1 species